rnacentral:lncRNA from 1 species
UUUUUUUUUUUUUUUUUUUUUUUUUUUGGCCAUACCUGUAGCAUGUGGAAGUUCUUGGGCCAGCCAUCAAACCUGCAUCACAGCAGCAACCCAAACAUUGCAGUGACAACACUGGAUCUUUAACCCACUGCACCACAAGGGAAUCCAGAAUGUGCUGAUCUUUUAAAAAACACUUAGAAAGCAUGUACAUGCAUUUACAUAGAUGGCUUACUGGGGGUUAGAGUACAUUGGCACUUGGAAAACUGAAAUUAGAAUUUCUACUGACUGUAAGCAUGGUCAAAAAAUAGGCCUACUGAGAGAGGGAGGGAGGGAAGAAGGAAGGAAGAAGGACAGAAGGUAGGAAGGAAAGGAAAGGAAAGAUAAAACCAGAUUUUUGGGGAUCCUAAUGCUUUAACUCUUCUUUCAAAACUUGGUGAAAGAAUUGACCGGCAAUCUUUAUUGUAUAGGUAAAGCUAAUCAGUAACAUUUCAUGCCCAUGACACGUGACAGUAAACAUUCUUUUUAAUAAAUGGGAGAACAAAGAAUGAAUACUAAAAAGCCCCAUAUUUAUACAUAAAUUCAUCAUCAGUGACAUGGGCCUUAGGCAGUACAAGGUUUCUAUUAUUGUAAGUUUAACAGAAAGAUUCUGAAGGAGGGAGGACAAGGGCCUUUUCCACAAAGGAGCUUUUUGUGCCCCCGGGGUUAAGAUAUUUAUAUUUUAAAAAUCUAAGACCAGGUUCAGACGAGAGGGAAGAUUCGUCAUUGCACAGCUGGAUAGCAAAUGGACACUAGUGUUAGUGCAGGGCUGAAGGUUCACUGUUAGCAGUUGAAGAAUGUUAGAUGACACCUGUGUGACAUUUGGGAAGCUGAUGGGGGUUAUUAGGAAGUAGCUACUGAGAUGGCAUAACUGAUAUUUCAUUUGUUUUAGUUGUAAUAGGCAUUAGGGCAGUGUAAUUAUGAAACAUUUUCCUAUUAUAUGUAGAAUGGAUAAACAACAAGGUCCUACUGUAUAGCACAGGGAACUACAUUCAAUACCCCAUGAUAAACCAUAAUUAAGAAGAAUAUGAAAAGUAUAUAUAUACUAUAUAUAGUAAAAACACAGUCUCAAAAAUAAACUAUACUUCAAUAAAGUAAGUUUUAAAAUAAAAUUUUAGAAAAGAUUUUUAAAAGUCCAAUUUUCAAUGAAGUGCAUUAUUAGGAUUUCAUCUCAAAAAGGAAAGAACCAAUGAAUUAGUUAUGUGGCAGAAAAAAAUACCGCAGAAUCUUUUUCAAGUGACUUGUAGAAUGAUCUCAAUUCCAUGACUGAUUGAGUAAAUUUGUCUCAAGGCUGUUGUGUUUAUAGUAUUAAUGACCUUUUUCAUCUUGGCUGAUUUCAUAAAAUUCACAGCUGAUAAGUCAAUUGAUUAGGCUUGAGAUGUAGCAUUAAUUUGUUUUGUUUUAGAGGAAUGACUUCCUUCUGAUUAAAUUUCAUAAAUGAUAUGUCUUAGCAAAACAAGACUCUUUCUUAACAGAUCAGGACUGCUUGUUGAAUAAUGCAGUGCGUUAAAUUUUCUCCAUGGGGAGUUCCCUUUGUGGCUCAGCAGUAAUGAACCCAGCUAGUAUCGAUGAGGAGGCAGGUUUGAUCUCUGGCCUUGCUCAGUGGGUUAAGGCAACUGGUGUUGCCAUGAGCUCUGGUAUAGGUCGCAGGCGCAGCUCAGACCUGGCGUUGCUGUGGCUGUGGUGUAGGCUGGCAGCUACAGCUCUGAUGACCCCUAGCCUGGGAACUUCCAUGUGCUGAGGGUGUAGCCCUAAAAAGACUGAAAAAAAAAAAAAAUUCCCUCAUGGUAUACAGCAAACAGAAAUGAAGUGGCUUGGGCCAGGAAUGUGGAUAAGUGCACUGUGAUGCACUGAGCAGGUGGCUCUUAAGACCACUGUAGAAUAGAAAAGCCAAACUGCCAAGGGAGCUCACUGCACUGACCAUCAGCACAGAGAAGCAUCCCUCCAGAGGUGGGUUCUGUGUUUACACAAACGCUUGAGCUGAAUGAAGCUCUAUCAGCAUGCUGUCGCUGGAACUUUUUUUCUCUUCUUCAGUUUCAUCACGUAUCUGUUGAGGGCCACCCCUGUGCCAGAGUGGAAGGUAUAAAACAGAAUAAGAUCUGGUACCAACACCUCAAGAAGCUUUAGUCCAGUGGGAGAUGCAGGCCUACAAAUAAACACAUUUCAGUGUGUGAUGUGCAUAAUCUGGUGAAGAGAGUGAUUAUAGGGAGGACAUUGUAGGGGAUGACCAAGAGACACUUUGAAGGUUAAGAUAUAUCUGAGAGGCUGAGUGGAUGAAAACUACUCCAGGCACACAAGUAUGAAAUAGUUUGGCAGUGCUGGAGCGGAAGGUGCAGUGGGAAAGGAAAUAGGGAGAUUCUGAUUUAACUCUUGGUGAGUAAUAUUCAGAUUACAUUCACAUGAUACAGUCAUCACAAUCUACCUUCUUUGAGUCAACACUAGUGUAAUAACAGAACUGUAGCCCUCUGGACCAGCCCUGUCCAAUACAGAUAUAAUACAAGCCACAUAGAUAGCUUUAAAGUUUCAAGAAGCCAUGCUAG